rnacentral:rRNA from 1 species
UUCGGGAACCGGUGACAGGUGCUGCAUGGCUGUCGUCAGCUCGUGUCGUGAGAUGUUGGGUUAAGUCCCGCAACGAGCGCAACCCUUGUCUUUAAUUGCCAUCAUUUAGUUGGGCACUUUAAAGAGACUGCCGGUGUUAAGCCGGAGGAAGGUGGGGAUGACGUCAAGUCCUCAUGGCCUUUAUGCCCAGGGCUACACACGUGCUACAAUGGGCGGUACAAAGAGAAGCAACCUCGCGAGGGUGAGCAAAUCUCAAAAAGCCGUUCUCAGUUCGGAUUGAAGUCUGCAACUCGACUGCAUGAAGUUGGAAUCGCUAGUAAUCGUGGAUCAGCCAAGCCGCGGUGAAUACGUUCCCGGGCCUU